rnacentral:lncRNA from 1 species
AAAAGAAAGAAAAAUGUUAAGCUAAUGCAAUGGGUGAAAAAGAAAAAAAAACAGUUUUUUUUUCCUAUGCCAACUUUAUUUGUCUGUGUUCAUCUUCAAAUAUGUUAUGUUAUGCCAUAUCUUUCUAAACUGAAAUAUUACCAGGACAGAUGGCAGUGGUUUUUGGUAGUCCAUGAAGCAUCAUGCAAAAUACUGCGUUGUACACUCCCAUAUACUAUGUUUUGAAAUCUUGUGCAUAAGGAACUAGAAAAGUAUGAAAGUAUUUUACUUUUUAAUUUCUUAAACACAAUCAAAUAUUUUAUUUACCAGGAUCGUGAAAGGUGAAAGCUGCAAGCCAUAAUGAAGUUGUAAGCCAAGCCACCAACCUAAUUACCAUUUUUGUUUGUUUCUCAGCUUACCAUCUUCAUUUAGAAUAAGCGGUUGUUCUUGACAAUUUCUGCAUUUUUUUCUCUGUUCUUUGACAGAUGUACAUUCAAGGAAAGCUACUCUUUGCCAACUAUAUUUUCAAUGGAUACAGCAAAUCAACUGAAGACUUUCAAAAACAAAUAGCUAUGACAAGGAGUGAUUACCGCAUGGGUUACUGUCUUCCGAGCAAUUUCAGGUUCAGAGCAGCUGAAGACUACUGGUCUGGUGUGUGUUUCCUGUCUCCACACGAAAGAGAAACUGUGGAUCUUUCUCAGUGCCUAUGAACUUCAGAGUGUAUCACAUGUGAUCUCCCUCUGUAGCCCUGCCAGGAGUCUCUCACUGUAGUUUGUUCUUUUAAACAUUUCCUCUUAAAUUUAGUUUUCAUUUAUUAACCAAUUAAACAGCAGCCUAUCAAGAUCCAUUGCUUUCACUGUGGUUUUCUUGACAAUCCAUACUGCCCUAAGGCCCUGUUUUGGGAAAUGCUGAGGGACAUGUGUUUGUUURUAUGUUUAAGAUAGGACAGAUGGGCUGACAAGCACUCACAGCAGCUCUGGUGCAAAGCCUUUAUAAGAGAAAACAAAGUUAAGUGGCUUUUCUAAUUAAGGAUGUGAAAUCAGUGUGCAUUUUAAAUACCUCCAUAGAACCUACUUGGUAGAAAAGCAUUCAGUUCUCUUGCCAUUAGAUAAUUUUCUAAGAAAAAUUAAGUUUUUAUUUAUAUCCUGAGUAAAUAACUGAAAAGUUUGAUAUGCAAAAAACACAACAUCUUUGCCAGACAAGGUUUUCGAUGUGCAUGUACAAUAACAAUGAAUUAAAAAGGAAAAAAUCACAGAAACCCUUUGGAUUAAAAUUAAGACACAAUCUGUUAUUACUGCUCAAGAAAAAUUGUAAAGGGUUAGAUGCAGGGGAGAUUGAGUAGCAAUUAUGUUCUGAAAACACAUGCUCUUUGAGAGUGGGGAAGGUUUAAGCACAACUGCUAGUUCUCAAAGCUUCUAGGGCUCAAGGCUAGGCAGCUGUUGAGCUGAAGCGCAGUGGCAUAGCAGCUGGAGAGCAUGCUUUCAGCCCCUAUCACAGCAAGCAGCAAGCUUAUUUAGCACAACUAAGACUCAGUUUUAACUGUGCCACUUUCCUGUUGGAAAGAACCAGUAAAGCUCACAUAAUGAGGAACAUGCAUCUAAGAAUCAGGCUUGCUGGGGAGAUGUUAGCACCUUGCUAUCACUGAAGAGGGAGAUUCCUGGAAGGGAAGCCUCUGAAUACCAGAAAGGAAUAGGAGGGCCAUGUUGAAAAGGAGGUCAAACCUCCCUGUCGGGGAAGUCAGGAUGGACAAGAUACCAGCCCUAAGAAUACUUCUGUUUAUGGAUAGGAACGCAUGGGUGCAGGUUCUCUCUGAUCUGCCAUUUCAUGAGGUUUAAUCAACAGGUUCAGAAAAGAAGGGGAAAAAGUGCGCUAGCUCCUAGAAAGUUGGAAGCAGAAUACUAGAGAAAAGCUGAAGACUGCUAAGAGGGAAGAGAGACCAYUGGAGGAAAGAACACACCCAGCAAAAACUGGAGGUUUGAAAGAUACCUCCAGAGACAUUGAAUCUAGUUCAGUGCUCCCACAGGCAAUCAGCCCAGUAUAAUUCUUUCCAGAAAUGGUCAGACCAGAAGAGCCUCUCUAGCCCUUCUGUGCCCAGGUCCAGUAUUUUUCAGUGUGGCCACUAAUAUUUUUGUUUGAAAUACAUUACCUGGUACAUCAUAAGAUAGUAAACCAGGAGAGAAAACUAAAAAAAAAAAAAGUUUGGCUUGUAUAGCUUACAAAGGCGGUGGCGUAGAGGGAAUAUGUUUAUGAGUGGGACUGCAUAUGACAUGGAUGCCUGCAGUAGAAGAAGACAGAGUCAAUAACCCAAAGAGCGCUUUUGAGGCUUCCUGMUCCUGUAUAAAUUUCAGCACUAAUCUAUGAGGGCCAGAUCUCUACAACCUUUCCAAACCUAGAGCUCACAGGUGCACGCUGACUGUCUGUGAACAUUUACAUUAGGACAUUAAAAACUUUGAGUACAAUGGCAUACUGAGCAGCACAGAAACUGACAGCCUGGACUCGUUUAAAUUUGACCAUCUGUGGCUUCGGAUGAAAGAUCUUGAGGACAAUUGAUGGAUUUCUGGCAUUCAUCCCAGAGUAAAUAUAAAAUUGUGUAACUAGACAUAAAAAGCCUUUUAUUUUAAGAAACAUACACAUCAAACAUUAUAAACAGCGGCUCAUUUAUAGUGCUUCUAUCCAGAUGAAAUGGAUGAUUCGCUGUUAGUAUUGACUACUGAAGCAUGAUUUUAAGCACUGAUUUUUCUUUGUUUAUUUAGGAUUGGACCUUUUUUUAAUAGCAAGAAAUAAAGGAAAGCAUUGGUCACUUUCUAUUUGGGAA